UUUAGGAAUUCCGAAUUGGGUGACGA
rnacentral:sRNA from 1 species